rnacentral:rRNA from 1 species
AUACAGAGGGUGCAAGCGUUAAUCGGAAUUACUGGGCGUAAAGCGCGCGUAGGCGGUUUGUUAAGUCGGAUGUGAAAGCCCUAGGCUCAACCUGGGAACUGCAUUCGAUACUGGCAGACUAGAGUAUGGUAGAGGUAAGUGGAAUUCCAGGUGUAGCGGUGAAAUGCGUAGAUAUCUGGAGGAACAUCAGUGGCGAAGGCGACUUACUGGACCAAUACUGACGCUGAGGUGCGAAAGCGUGGGGAGCAAACAGGAUUAGAUACCCCAGUAGUCC